GUCACUUCACAUCUCUAUCAACAUGCUGCUCUCUAUCCUUUCUCUCCUAGCACUGCUUUCAGGAGACACAUCAGCACAGACAGUUGUGCCACAUGCAGGAGAAAUUCAUGUUUCAGAGGGUGAUAAUGUUACUCUCUCCUGCAACUACAAUACCAGUGAUUCUAAUUAUGUUCUUCAGUGGUAUCAUCAGUUUCCCAGAUCCAGACCAGAGUUUCUCCUGUACAUUUACCCUCAAGGAAUUAAGAGUCAUCCUCUUCCUCCUCGUAUGUCUGCUGAAGUGGAUAAAGACAACAAGCGUGUGGAUCUGUUGAUCUCCUCUGCUGCAGUAUCAGACUCAGCACUCUACUACUGUGCCCUGAAGCCCACAGUGACAGGAAACCCAGCUACACUGUACAAAAACCUGUGUAAAUGUGACAGUUCAACUCAGGUUACACUUAGUAUACAGACUGUGUUCCUACUUUAAUUUAACCCUUGAAUGUAUUACAAAAGAAGAAGAAUCUGUAAACAACCUCGUUCAUAAAACAAUUUAUCACCAAUACAAUGUGACAUUGUGUACCAGCUUCUGCAUCCCUACAGUGCCAGAAUAGAGCAGCCAUGAAGAGAAUACAAGACUGCAGCUUACAGACCUGAUCUUCACUGGACUGAAAUGAGAUGAAAUUAGUACUUUUCAUGUCUCUGUAGUGCAAUACUGAGCCGUGAACUCCAAUAUGACAGAUGUGAUUCAAAUAGGAUGUGAAGGAGCUCUGUCACUCUGUUACUUACUGAGAUAAAGCUAGACUUAUAGUUUUAAUUCAUCUCUCAUCUCCUAAAGAAGCCAUCAUCAGUUUGACUCUCAGUCCAGAAGCUCUGUAUGCGUGUGUGUGUGUGUGUGUGUGUGUGUGUGUGUGUGUGUGUGUGUGUGUGUGUGUUUGUGCACGCAUGAGUGACUGUUCUUUGUACUAAUAUGUCCUGAGAGCCACUGUGACAUCAUCACAUUUAUCCAUCACACACAAACAUGCAGUUCUAAAAACUAAUAAAUAGUAAAUGCCUCCGUUAGUUACAGUUAACUCAUCUUACAAACCAAACUAUGAUGAUGUCAGAGGAGCCUAUACUACAGACAGGUCCAAAGUUUUAUUACACAGAUCUAUAAACUUAGAACAGCUUGACCAGUUUGCUUUGAAGUCCCUGAGGUUACUGAAUAAUAAGCCAUAGCAUGUAAUAAGCUUGGGAUGUUUAGGUGGUUGACAUCUCUCGAAAAUGAAAACAUACAAACACUCAUGAACACUGUAGGUGUUAAUUCAACACUGGUGAUUUUACUGUGUGGUUACAUCUGUUACAGAAUAUUCAAUUAAAUCAGGAUUCAUUU